rnacentral:rRNA from 1 species
CAUGAAGUCGGAAUUGCUAGUAAUGGCAGGUCAGCAUACUGCCGUGAAUACGUUCCCGGGCCUUGUACACACCGCCCGUCACACCAUGAGAGUUGGAGAUACCCGAAGCCUAUGAGCUGACUUUUAGAGGCAGUAGUCGAAGGUAGAAUCAAUGAUUGGGGUGAAGUCGUAACAAGGUAUC